ACUACGGUUGCGCGGGUUUUUCUCCGGGAGCCCUCAUUGCGCACAAACCCAGCCCGUCGCUAGUACCGCCAAAUGCAGUCUGGCUGGAAAAGAUCAUCCCCUGUUUUCAUCCUCCCAGUGAAUGAUACCACUAAAGCCUGGAGUUUUGGGCUCAGGCUUAUCUUCUGAACUCCAGACUUACAACAGUUAUCAACUUGACGUAACCACCCUGAUGUCUCACACAUUCUAAACACAAAACUGCUCAAACCUGCUGCUCCUACACAGGCUUCUCCUCCUCAUCAUUCAUCCAGUCAUUCAAACCAAAAACCUCAGAGUCAUUAUUUUCUCCUCCUGCAUCUAGUCAGUACUGUUGACGUGUUGAUUCUGCCUCCAAGCUAUAUCAUCAAAUCAGGCUGCUUCUCUCCAUUUCUACUGCCACCUGGAUUCUGCAGUCACCUCCCUACAGGCCUUUCUGCUUCUGUUUGCCCCCUCCAGGCCACUUUCAAUGAGUGGCUAAGCAUCAUUUAAAAAAUAAAAGGGAGUUGGACUUCCCUGGUGGCACAGUGGUUAAGAAUCCGCUUGCCAAUGCAGGGGACAUCACUUCUGGAGAAGAGCUAGCUGUUGUUUUCCAGACCUGGAAAAAAGACCCCGUGCUAAUGUCUCCUGUGAGAAGUCUUCCCCAGUUCCUCUCACACUAAUUGCCCUCUUCUCUGUGCUUCCAGAGAACAAGGAAUCUGCCUGUUAGGGAAGUUACUAGUGACAAGUCCUAGCAAACAGCAUUCUUACUACCUAUUGGGCCCCAUGCUAGGCUCUGGGGUUUGGACAUGAACGGGACUUACGCCAUUGUAUUGUCCUCACUGGUUGCCAAGGUCACUGUGGGUGAGUGCGUCUGGGACAGGAACUAUAUCUUAUACAUUGCUUGGUUUGAUGGUUUUCUACUUCAUCAGCCUUAACACCCUAGGAAUGGAGCAAAUACUCUGUAAGACCGUCUUUACCACCCUGAAAUGAACCUUACUGAUAAAAUAAC